GAUGAACGCUGGCGGCGUGCCUAAUACAUGCAAGUCGAGCGAACAGACGAGGAGCUUGCUUCUCUGACGUUAGCGGCGGACGGGUGAGUAACACGUGGAUAACCUACCUAUAAGACUGGGAUAACUUCGGGAAACCGGAGCUAAUACCGGAUAAUAUAUUGAACCGCAUGGUUCAAUAGUGAAAGACGGUUUUGCUGUCACUUAUAGAUGGAUCCGCGCCGCAUUAGCUAGUUGGUAAGGUAACGGCUUACCAAGGCAACGAUGCGUAGCCGACCUGAGAGGGUGAUCGGCCACACUGGAACUGAGACACGGUCCAGACUCCUACGGGAGGCAGCAGUAGGGAAUCUUCCGCAAAGGGCGAAAGCCUGACGGAGCAACGCCGUGUGAGUGAUGAAGGUCUUCGGAUCGUAAAACUCUGUUAUUAGGGAAGAACAAAUGUGUAAGUAACUAUGCACGUCUUGACGGUACCUAAUCAGAAAGCCACGGCUAACUACGUG
rnacentral:rRNA from 1 species